rnacentral:RNase_P_RNA from 2 species
AAAUUCAAGUAAUCGCUGCAAUUUUAUUGUAGAGGAAAGUCCAUGCUCACACGGAUCUGAGAUGACCGUAGUGUUCGUGCUUACUGAAAAAAUAAGGUAAGGCAAGGCAGUGCCUUGACGGCGGAAGGAAAACCUAAGUCGUUUUCGAUAUGGUUGACACUUCCUGAAAGUGCCACAGUGACGGAGCUUUAUAGGAAACUAUAAAGGUGGAACGAGGUAAACCCCGCGAGUGAGAAACCCAAAUUAUGGUAGGGGCACUCUCCUGAAGGAAUUAAACAGAUGGAGGGACGGGUUAAUUCCCGUAGAUAGAUGAUUACUACCCGAUACGUACGAGGCAAUUAGCCGUUUGAGUACCCGGGAACAAAACAUGGCUUAUGAA